GACGAACGCUGGCGGCGUGCUUAACACAUGCAAGUCGAACGGAAAGAGAUGAAAGAGCUUGCUCUUUUAUUAAUUUCAGUGGCAAACGGGUGAGUAACACGUAAACAACCUGCCUUAAGGAUGGGGAUAACAGACGGAAACGACUGCUAAUACCGAAUACGUUCUAAGCAUCGCAUGAUGCAUAGAAGAAAGGGUGGCCUCUACAAGAAAGCUAUCGCCUUAAGAGGGGUUUGCGACUGAUUAGGUAGUUGGUGAGGUAACGGCUCACCAAGCCGACGAUCAGUAGCCGGUCUGAGAGGAUGAACGGCCACACUGGAACUGAGACACGGUCCAGACUCCUACGGGAGGCAGCAGUGGGGAAUCUUCCGCAAUGGACGAAAGUCUGACGGAGCAACGCCGCGUGAACGAAGAAGGUCUUCGGAUUGUAAAGUUCUGUGAUUCGGGACGAAAGGGUUUGUGGUGAAUAAUCAUAGACAUUGACGGUACCAAAAAAGCAAGCC
rnacentral:rRNA from 1 species